UCUGGCUCCUUCCUUCUCAAUGAGCAGGCGAUGGAUGUUCAGGUUCAGGCGCUCGGAUGCCGCUUGGACUUAAUUACCUUGUUCCUUCUUCCAUGUUGACUCUCAUCUCAGCCCACCGUUCUCCCGAUUCGAGUGCAGGUCGAGGUGCUUGGAGGCCAGAUGGAGGAAAGUAUCACCACCGCGACAUUCAGGCUGCUUCCACACCGUCCAGGGUUGCCACGCUGGGACCCGGUGAGUGUUUGGCGGUGGUGGCUUUGGCUGCACGUGCCCGUCCCCAGGCUUGGUGGCGUUUAUGUUCCGCUACGAUGGCCGGGUGGCUGCGCCGAGUCCCCGCUGUCGGGGUAUGCUCCAUGCUGGGCCGUAGCCUCCCAUUCGUUGUGCGGGGCCUGCCUUCAUGGCCUUUGCCGUCCUCGCCGUUAGCUUGUCCCUCGAGUUUGGCAGGUAACUACGGUUCCAUGGUGUCCCUAUCGGUGGAGAAGGUCGGCUGGACAGGAGCAUGGCUCGACCCGAGAUGGUGGUGGGGAUGACAUUAGCGGACACGGCCAGAUCUGUGGCCAGAAAAGCCAUGGCGGUGAACUCCGAUUGACGUCCUACUCGCGCUGGGCGGCGCUUGAUGUGGUGACUGCAGAAUAGUAUAGCUGCGGGCAGAGUAGUAGGCUAGAUGUGGAAAAAUAAUCUGUAAUUUCAAGUUUUUUUGCUGUGUGUUUCUUCCUUUUGAUUAAAAAAUGUUAUUUAUUUGGUA